GCGGGAAUAACUCAGUGGUAGAGUGNNAGGUCGCGAGUUCGAAUCUCGUUUCCCGCU
rnacentral:tRNA from 1 species